GUCAAAGUCAAAGUCGACUGCGUGUCCGUACUCCCCAGUAUGGCAUCAUCGGGAGUUCUGCGCCCUUUUAAUUGUCUCCUCCUUUGACGAGGCGAAUCAACGACUGGUAGAGUUGGUUCUGCAUAUGAGAUGACGUCAGUGGCGGUUGCGGUAAACGGCGGCGAAGGAGUCGGUGGAAGGGGAAGCCGACGAGCCGUUAAGUGGGCGGUCGAAAAUUUAUUCCCCAAAACCCAUCGGUUCAUCUUAGUCCACGUCAUUCCAGCCAUCACGUUUAUACCCACUCCAUCUGGAGACCGUAUCCCCAUUGAAGAACUAGACGAGAAUGUGGUGGCACUGUACGUGCAGGAGGUGAAAUUGAAGUUUGAUGAAAUCUUUGUACCCUUUAGAAAGCUAUGCAAGGCACAAAAGGUGGAAACUUUGGUGCUAGAGCAUGACAAUCCCGCGACUGCGCUUUUAAACUAUGUAUCACAAUCGGGGAUUGACAUUUUAGUGUUGGGUUCUUGGUCUCCCAAUUGUAUAAUCAGGAAGCUGAAGGGACCAGGGAUACCAAAAACUGUGCUGAAUGGUGCUCCAGAAACAUGCAAUGUUCACAUUGUAUCUAAGCGCAAAAUCUUCACAAAGUCAACAUAUUCCUCUUCCAUUAGCGAGACCAGCUUUAGGCACAGGAUGUCUAAUAGAAGAGAUUAUAAGAAAAGCUCCAGCAGCAUCAAUAAUUUAAUUUCUGAGCCUGAGCUUUAUUCUUCCAUUGUGGAAUCCAAAGUUCAGAAGUCCUUUGAAGCAUCAUCCGUGUCUCACUUUAGUGUGCAAGGCUCUCAAGGUUCAACAAAAACUGAAUCGGUAAAAUUGUUUUCUUCACUUAUAUACCACUAUGGUGUUUGAGAAGGUUUUGAUAUGGACUGUUCCCCCCUUUUGCAGUCAUAUGUGCAGGCUGAAAUAGAACAACUACGGCUAGAAUUACAAAAUACCAUUACCUUGUAUAAACGAGCUUGUGAAGAGCUGGUCCAUACUCAGAGCCAGGUUGAAUUAGUUUCUUCUGAGUGUGUCAAGGACGCUAGAAGAGUGAAUGCUGCCCUGGAAAGAGAAGAAAUAUUGAGGAAAAUUGCUGUUGAAGAGAAAGCAAGGUAUUUGCAAGCCAAGAAAGAGAUAGAGGAGGCUAAAAAUUUGUUUGCUAAAGAAGCUUAUGAAAGGCAGAUGGCUGAGCUCAGGGCCGAUAAAGAGUCCUCUGAGAAACAGAGAAUUGUUGAUGCACUUUUCAUGAGUGAUAGGAGGUACAAAAAGUACACUAGGGAUGAAGUAGAGUUGGUAACAAAUUUCUUUUCUGAGAGUAAUGUGAUUGGUGAAGGAGGGUAUGGGAAAGUAUAUAAAUGCAAUCUUGAUCAUACCCCAGUAGCAGUUAAGGUUCUCAGGUCUGAUGCAGUUAACAAGAAAGAGGAAUUCUUAAGAGAGGUUGAAGUUCUAAGCCAACUGCAUCAUCCGCACUUAGUUUUGCUGCUUGGAGCUUGCCCUGAGAGUGGUUGUCUGGUCUAUGAAUACUUGGAAAAUGGAAGCCUGGAGGAGUGUAUCUUCCACCGAAAUGAAAAACCACCUCUUCCUUGGUUUGUUCGGUUCCGGAUAGUUUUUGAAGUGGCUUGUGCACUCGCAUUCUUACAUAACUCAAAGCCAGAGCCUGUUGUCCAUCGGGAUCUAAAACCGGGUAAUAUAUUGUUGGACAGGAAUUAUGUGAGCAAAAUUGGAGAUGUUGGGCUGGCUAAGCUCAUUACAGAUAUUGUUCCUGACAACAUCACGGAGUAUAAAGAAUCUAUUCUUGCUGGUACUCUGUGCUACAUUGAUCCUGAGUACCAGAGAACUGGAACUGUCAGACCAAAAUCAGAUCUAUAUGCCUUUGGCAUUAUAAUUCUCCAAUUAUUAACAGCUCAUCAUCCAAGUGGACUUGUGUUAACUGUUGAAAAUGCCUUCAGAAAAGGCUGCUUUGCGGACAUUCUAGAUACAUCAGUUGCAGAUUGGCCACUUGCUGAAACAGAGGAAUUAGCUAAAAUUGCAUUGCAGUGCUCAAAACUUAGAUGCAGGGACAGACCUGAUCUUGAUACUGAAGUUCUACCAGUUCUUAGAAGGCUUGCAGGUGUAGCAGCUGCUAGUGUAAAGGUGGAAGGACCCAAUACCUACGCACCAAGCCACUACUUCUGUCCAAUUCUUCAGGAAAUAAUGGAUGAUCCAUACAUUGCUUCUGAUGGUUUCACAUACGAGCAUAGAGCUAUUAAGGCGUGGCUUCAGAGGCACAGUGUGUCACCAGUGACAAAGCUUAGGCUUCAGAAUUCUAUGUUAACCCCAAACCACACAUUACGUUCAGCCUUACAGGAGUGGAGGUCACGUUUAUAUUUUCAAGAACCUUAAAAGAUAUUUGAAUUAUGGGCUUAAUGCUCAACUUCACCCCUGAAUUUUUAUUGGGAUGUUCAAUUUAGUUUAUUUUUAACAUUUUUGUCAAAUUAGCUUAGAAGUUUCAAUUUAAACUUAAUUUAGUUCAAAAAUCAAGAAAUUGAAUUUCUUAAUAGUGGGACAAUAAAUUUAGUUCAAAAAUUUUAAUUUUUGAGCUAAAUUGAGUUUAAAUUGAAAUUUUUUAGUUAAUUUGGAUAUAAAGUUAAAAAAACAAGCUAAAUUGAACAUUUACUGUGUGAAAUUGAAUAUUUAGCCUUUGAAUUAUGUGCCACCUCAAGCGCUCCGAAAAUAGAAACAAGAAGAUGAUGUCCCAAGCUUCUUCUUUUGCAUUAUGCUUCUAGUGUUGAGAUACCAGCAAAAAUGUACAACUAUGUGAGGUUUAGAGUAUUGAAUUAAUUAUGUUAGGUUGAAGGAAAAUUGAUGGUGCUUCAAACAAUUCAUAAGAUGUAAAUUUUAUGUCUGAACAUACAAAGUUUUGAGUUUGAAAUGUAUAAUUUAAAUGUGAAAUAUG
rnacentral:misc_RNA from 1 species